UAGACAUCCUGGCAGCUUACAAUUAGUUCGAGGUGAGACACUGAAUUUGAGCAGAAACCAUAAGGAUACUCAAAGGACCUGUGACUCUCAGGAAAUGCAUCAAAUGAGAGGGACAGAUGAAACAGUUUCAAG